UACGUAGGGGGCUAGCGUUGUCCGGAAUCAUUGGGCGUAAAGCGCGUGUAGGCGGUUCGGUAAGUCCGCUGUGAAAGUCGGGGGCUCAACCCUCGAAUGCCGGUGGAUACUGUCGAACUAGAGUGCGGAAGAGGCGAGUGGAAUUCCUGGUGUAGCGGUGAAAUGCGCAGAUAUCAGGAGGAACACCAAUUGCGAAGGCAGCUCGCUGGGACGUUACUGACGCUGAGACGCGAAAGCGUGGGGAGCAAACAGG
rnacentral:rRNA from 1 species